UGUCAAAGACAUCAGUCUCCUGUUUUACUCUCUCUUUCUCUCUCUCUCUGUCUUUCCUUCCAGCACUAUCCACAGACGACGGACCCCCCCUCCCAUGUAUGAAACUACGAGUCACUGUGUGUUGUCCACCGACAACAGCUGAAUCAUCAAGACAAGAAGCCACAGAGAGACCGUCACACAGCAGCGCUGUCCAUCCAGUGACAGUCGGACGACUUUCUCUCCUCCUCAUAUUCCUCUUGUUGCCUUAUUUUCUCUAAUAUCUCUUCUUAAAACUUAAAACCUGAAAACAAGUGCUCUGUUGCUGCAGAUAUUCCUCCGUAACCAGUUGCGUUACAGUAAAUGCUUGUUCUACUUCUGUGGAUUACACACACACACACAGACAGACUCUCUCUCUUUCUCGUACUCCUUUGCUCUGUCAUUUUUGUCACGCUAUUAGUCUCCAUCCCUCCAUUUCCUUCCUGGCAGUCUCUCUCUCUCUCUCUCUCUCAGUCCACUCUCAGUGGCGUCUUACUCCUGUCUGCUCUGAUAAAAGUUCACUCUGUAACAGAGCGACACUAAUCUACCUUCAAAGAGCUUAUCUUACUGUUCAUUUUCUUUGAAUUCAUCUGUCCUUAAGAGUCAGACAUUCCUUUACAAGCCCCUGCUCCCCCCUCUGUCCUACUGUACAACAAACUGAGCCAAAGACGAGGAGGAUGAAGCUCCUGCUGUUUGUACUACUGAGUGGAAGAUCAGGGACAGAGUGACCAUUCAUACAUGUGAUCACUAACAUAUCCAAUCAUCAACAAUGGAACUUGGAAAAAAAAUUUAAACUUUUUGUACAAUUUUUUUUUUCUCUUUGAAAAAAGGAAUACAUUGAAACCAAAGCCAGACCGCAGCAUUU